AACAAAUCAGACUCCACGCUCCUUCUUCCAGGUUUUCUCAGACUCACGCUUCUCUAGCUUCUUCUCUUCAGAGUUCAGACUCACGCUUUUCUUAAGUUUGCGGUUCCAGGCUCCACGCUCGGUAUCAUCUUCUUCCAGGUGACUGAAGAUUGGAUGAAUCUUGCCAUGCUCCAAGUAAGUAUAUUAAAACAUCGAAGGCAUGUUUUUAUUGAAAUAAAAUGUAAAUUAAUCUGAUCUGAAUUGGAUUCUCAGCCUUCUAUUAUAACUCAGGAGCUAGUGUAUUCAUCUUUCCUUGUGACAAUAUAACUACGAAUUUAAAAUGCUUAAUUCCGCAUUAUCAAGUGUCUUAUAGCUCAAUUGAUAUUUUCUGAUAUUUUCAACAAACGCCUAUGAUUCAAAUCCCUC